rnacentral:misc_RNA from 1 species
GGAAGUUUUUUUACAUCUUUUGUUUUUUUUUAAAGGUAGCUGUUGCUGUUGUUUCUUUGUUAUAAUAUAUCAAUAUUUUUUAAAAGGUAGGAAACUUGUUAUCUUCCUUGGAAUGAAGAUGUCGAUAAUCUGCCACGAUUUGGAGAACAAUUCCCGUAAAGCUUUAGAAGUCCAGUUGGGUGGCAAAUUUUCAAAAUACAGUGGGGUUAUUUAGGGACUAAACUGUUAACAGAAUCAAAUGCCGCUAACUAGCUUGAUUGUCGAGUACCUAUUAGUGAUUAUGACCUAACCUCAAGAGGCAAAUAGUUAUUCAUCCUAUUUCUAAUGUGAUUAUAUGACAAACAAUGCUCAGCUUAAAUUAACUGCCACUCGCAUAAAAGAUACUGGAAAGUUAUUUUUUAAUUAGAAACAUAAACAUUUACUGUAUGAAAUGAGUGAUUCCUUAAGACUAGAACAAUUUGUGCUAGACUUUUUUCCCCAGAGGUUUCGAUUAGUUUCUGAGGUAGGGAGGGAAUUCACUAGAAAUUUCAUUUCUUUCUUGCUUUAGAAAAAAAGUCCAGCAACAAGUUCAUAUAAUACCUUCUGAGAAUCAGACCUCUUUGUUGAAAUGCAACUUUGUUCGUUUUAGACUUGACAACCUUAAGUCGCCAAUUUGUGAAACCCUAGACCAUUAAAAGCUCCUUUGUCAAAUUUUCA